GGGUAUAUAGCUCAAGUGGUAGAGUGCAUGCUUAGCAUGCACAAGGACCUGGGUUCAAUCCCCAAUACCUCCU
rnacentral:tRNA from 1 species